GUGCUCAAUUUAGCAUCACUUACACUAACAUUGGAUUCAUACAGAGAAGAUUAGCAUGCACCCUGUACAAGGAUGACAUGCAAAUUCUUGGAGCGUUCCAUAUUUUU
ensembl:snRNA U6 U6 spliceosomal RNA